rnacentral:rRNA from 1 species
UGAGAGGUGGUGCAUGNCCGUCGUCAGCUCGUGCCGUGAGAUGUCCUGUUAAGUCAGGUAACGAGCGAGAUCCCUGCCACUAGUUGCUAUCAUUACUCUCAGGAGUAGUGGGGGCGAAUUAGUGGGACCGCCACAGUUAAUGUGGAGGAAGGAAGGGGCCACGGCAGGUCAGUAUGCCCCGAAACUCUGGGGCCACACGCGGGCUGCAAUGGUAGUGACAAUGGGCUCCUAACUCGAAAGAGAGAGGCAAUCCACAAACACUACCACAGUUAUGACUGAGGGCUGUAACUCGCCCUCACGAAUAUGGAAUCCCUAGUAACUGCGUGUCAUUACCGCGCGGUGAAUACGUCCCUGCUCCUUGCACACACCGCCCGUCGUUUCAUCGAAGUUUGCUUUUAGUGAGGUGAUGUUUUAUUGGCAUUAUCGAACUUGAGGUAAGUGACGAGGGAAAAGUCGUAACAAGGUA